rnacentral:rRNA from 1 species
CCUACGGGUGGCAGCAGUGGGGAAUAUUGCACAAUGGGCGCAACCCUGAUGCAGCAACGCCGCGUGAGUGAGGAAGUAUUUCGGUAUGUAAAGCUCUAUCAGCAGGGAAUUGAAAAGAAGGUAGCUGAAAAAUAAGCCCCGGCUAUCUACGUGCCAGCAGCCGCGGUAAUACGUAGGGGGCACGCGUUAUCCGGAUUUACUGGGUGUAAAGGGAGCGUAGACGGAAAGGCAAGUCAGAAGUGAAAGCCCAAGGCUCAACCAUGGGACUGCUAUUGAAACUGUCAAACUAGAGUACAGGAGAGGUAAGAGGAAUUCGUGGUGUAGCGGUGAAAUGCGUAGAUAUUAGGAAGAACACCAGUGGCGAAGGCGUCUUACUGGACCGAAACUGACGUUGAGGCUCGAAAGUGUGGGGAGCAAACAGGAUUAGAUACCCUUGUAGUC